GCUGAUAUUGUUGCCCCCAUGGUGCUUUGCAUAUCCUCUGGAGCAGCUGCUUUUCCUUCUUCCUAACCAUAGGCAUAAUGAUAAGGAGGAUGAUGCUCUGAGAAGAGUGGGAAGCCUGGCACAAAAAUGUUCCAUGACAGUUAUAGAUGGUCAAUAAGAACUGAAAUAGUUGAUCCAAAGGAAGGUCAACUACCAUCAUCAACUGAGCAGUUUAAGGCUUCAUUGCACAGUAUGCAGGAAAAACAUGAAGAGUCCUUCAAAGCACAGGUUCUUGGUGUGGAAUCAGAGUGAUACUCUACCUACCCACCUCCACUUCAUCUGACAUGAAUGGAAGUAUCUAACACAGCUCUGAACUCAGGAAGUACUACCUGGUUCUAUAUGCAACUGAGGCAAAGAGGAAUUAAUUUCCAAGGCCAUACCAAAUAAUCUU